AAAGCUUAAAAAAGCCGUUCAUCUAAAAAUACUCGGCAUAGCGGUGCAAUAUGCGAGGGUUUUCAAAGCUACUUAGUUGGGAUUGAACAAAGAUACAAAGAGAAUAAUUACUUUUUGUUUCGUCCAUAAAUAGUAUCUAAAGAACGCAUUUGAUAGACUCAUCACAGUUUCAGCAGGUUCGGGCACUGUGGACAUACAGUCAUAAGACAGGGAGGCACCACAUAAUAAAAUAUGAAAAUAUUAUUGAAGAAAUCAAGUCAUCGAGAGACUACUGGAAGCAAUGACUUUAAGAAUUAACAAUAAUUUUAUAGCUGCUUUAUUGCCGUUAGAUUGUGUGAUACUCACUUUUGUUGAAAACAGCCCGUUACGAUUGCUUCUUUCACGGUUUUGUUAAAUACAAUUUUAAGAUUUAAUUGCUAGGAUUUGUUAAAAAGCUAAUAUUAAAGAAAGCCAUAUAUUAUUCUUUUUAC